UCCCUGGAGGACUAGUGGUUAGGCCGUAGUGCUCUCACCGCUGCGGCCUGGGAUCGAUUCCUGGCCAGGGAA